CAAGAAUUACAAAAUUUAACAGCUUUUUGGACUGACUAAAAUUUAAGUAAUCUUGAACCAUUUUUACCAAAUUUUGAAUUGAGCAAUUUGAUAGAAUGUGGGGUGCGAGUGACAUUGAUACUAAAGAGAAGCCACAUCGCCAAACCUUUCCUAUGCAUAGGGAACUAUCUGGUGAUGCUGGAAGUUUGAGGAUUAUUCCUGCAAGUCGGCCGAUCUUUACAGAGGAACGCUUAACCGAAAUUAUAAAAUUAACCCAACCUAAAAAGUACUUUUUUAGUGCGUUGAAAGAGUUGGCUAUUUUGACAUUAAAGGUGUUUAUCGUAGAGCCAAUCACAAAGAUAUUUAAGAGCAUAUAUCGGCCAAUAGAAUUUAUUUGGAUGGUAAUGGAAAGAGUGGAGCAACGCGUUGAGACCGUCGAACGCCUUGAGCGCGAAGCUGAAGAAUAUUACAACCAAAUAAACUUACUCACACAAUAAUAAAAAGAAACCGGUUCAUUAUGUAUAUAUACCUUAGUUAUAUAUGCAUAAACCCAAGUUUACACUAAACGCCGAAUUUCACACAAAUGCAUGGGACUUUCUGAAACUCUUCUGUAUUUCAUAUCGGAGAAUGACAAAGUCUAUACACCAACAAAUCGUUUCAGAAAUAGAACACCACAAAGGCUCUUUUAGUUGAAAAUCAAUAUGAAUUAAUGGAUAUUAUUGUAAAAAAAAAAAUGUGAAUAUUUGGAUAUGUGGGGCUUCUAAAGUAUAAAUAAUUGGAGAUUAGAUACUAUAUAUUCAAUUAAAUUAUUUGUUUUGUGAAGAUGAUACACUUCAACUUUGACAUACAUUUCUUGAUGGACUAAAUUAGAAAUAUUAAAGUUUUUAUUGGCUCUAAUCAAAUGUAUUUCGGACUUAAUUUGUGACAAACUAAAAACGGAAAACUAUUUACUUCUUGUGGGCAAACAUAAUUUGGAUUUGAUGAACAUUUUUUUUAAUUAAAUAAAUUAAGAAUGGAAAACUAUUUACUUCAUACAAUCGAAUAUCUUCCAUAUUUAAUGAAACUUUCUUUUAUUGGGACAAAUUAGCAAAAGAAAAUUCUUUACUUUUUGGUUCAAACUACAUUUUGGAUUUGAUGAACAUUUUUGUUUAAUUAAAUAAAUUAAGAAUGGAAAAUUAUUUUCUUUGUGCAAUCAUAUAUGUUUCAGAUUUGAUGUAAAUUUCUUUUAUUGGGACAAAUUAGCAACAGAAAAUUCUUGACUUUUCGAUUCAAAAUACAUUUUGGAUUUGAUGAAAAUAUUUUUU